UACGUAGGGGGCAAGCGUUGUCCGGAAUCAUUGGGCGUAAAGAGCGCGUAGGCGGCCCAGUAAGUCCGCUCUGAAAGUCAGGGGGCUCAACCCCUGAAUGCGGGUGGAUACUGCUGGGCUAGAGUCCGGAAGAGGCGAGUGGAAUUCCUGGUGUAGCGGUGAAAUGCGCAGAUAUCAGGAGGAACACCCGAUGGCGAAGGCAGCUCGCUGGGACGGUACUGACGCUGAGGAGCGAAAGCGUGGGGAGCAAACAGG
rnacentral:rRNA from 1 species